UGGGGGAGCGCUGGAUCUUGGGCUGUGUCCCCGGCGCCCUGUGCUCCCGGGCCUACACUUUGGAGUCACGCUCCCGGCCGUGAGGCCCCCU
rnacentral:pre_miRNA from 1 species